ensembl:lncRNA
CCUGCUGGUCACUACAGAGAAGUAGAGUCAUUUCCUCAUAGACGUCUAUGGGAGCAGAGGAGUCGCCCCCUGCUGGUCACUACAGAGAAUGCAGGUUCAAGGAUCUGCAGCAGUGACCUUUGAGAAUCGGGGGUUAACGCCGGUCUGCACAGUUGAAUUGCUUAAAGGACGGCAGCAACAUAAAAAGUACCGUUAUAACAUCACAUACAAAGUUUUGGAGUAAAAGCAAAGCUUCACCCUUCAAUGACCCCGUUGGGUUUUUUAGCACUGUUUCAUCUUGUGAGAUCUCAAGCACUGGUUCUGCCUUUUUUCUUUUCUACCUUUGAUGUUAACAAGCUGUGCUAUUUGCCAUGGAAACCAGGGUGAAUAUAAAAGGAGAAACCAGACGCACUGCGCGAAUUAACUCAACGUCAGACGGAGGGAAAACAGCAACAUAAAACGGGGAAAGUACAAUCAUAAUUCGUACAGAUAAAUAAAUAAAGGCACACUACUGAAUCUAAAGUCCAGGUGUGUAACAUUACAUCUGUGUUAUGGGACAUUGUGAAGGCUGUUUAACCGCUACGAGAGAUGGAUGCACAUCCAGAAGGAACUUUGUGUUGAUAAGAUGCUGAGGAGGCUUUGUUCACAGAGCACAGUUCAUUAUAAUCCAACAGGGGUAAACAGACAUUAAAUGGGCCUGCAGAAUCAUAUCUCCACUCACAGCAUAUUCAAGCCUGGAGGCGACGUGAGGACAAAGGACCUUAAUUACAUGAAGCUGACACAAGGGCCGACGCACAGAGCCAAACACACACACACACACACGCACAGCAUUAAUACAUGAGCGCACUCAGUGUGUGAAUCCCAACAUACAGAUACUAAGAGAAACAAUUAGCUCAUUGUUCGCUAUUUCUGUUUAGUUUUGAAAGCAGGCAAAAGAAUUCAUAUUUUUCUCUCCAUUUAAAUGUUAUUCCCAUGUUAAAUGUUUGGUUCUCUUUGUUUUCUUCCUGAGCAAUGAGGCAUUCACCCGGCCACGCAGCCUCUGGAGCGAAUCAUCCUCUCUGAGAACUAAACAAAUUCGCUUGGAUACAAAAUAAAGUCUUGUAAUUAGCAGAGUUCCCUCUAUGAUGUUUAACUUCAGACCAUUGCUGACUUCCUCAUCAGUCCCAGAUGUGCUGGAGCAGCAGGAGCAGGAGGAGGAGGUGCUGGCGGGUGGAGGAGGGAGGGAGACGGACUCGAUAUCCCUCUCCGUCCAUCCCAAUAAUGCUCCUUUGCGUCUGGGCGAAGCGUCCGUGGGAAACGCGAAGCUCGCCGGCUCCCUCGCGACCUUGCUGCCGGUGUCAAGGUCGGACGAUUACAAGGCGGUUUGUGUUUUCGCGCCGCAGGAGAUUAAACGCUUAGCCCCCCCCCCACACUUUCCUCCCCCCGUCUUGCCCUCUCCCAUUUUGCUCAAAAAAAAGACUACAUGAACAGCAGCCGUCCCAAACAACACAGACAAUGGCGCCUGAUUCCCGUCCACAAAGCGCCAGCCGGCUGACAUUUAGCCGAGUCCCACGUCGAGGCUGAAGAGGGCUCAACGUGGCGUCCGGUGAUCCUCGCCGGCGAGCCGCAGGCCGCUUAUCGACCGCCGCGUGUCUGUCUUUGUAUUCAGCGUCCUCUGCGUCUUUUCUCCACUCUUUGUUUCGCUGUGCUUGUGUCUUCGGGGGGAAAUGUCCAACUAAAAGUUUAAAAUCCAGCGAGGUACACAAUGUGCACAAGCCCAGCGCACACAGACACACACACACAUACGCAAUCUGCAUGCACACAAUCCCUCUGCAGGGCACAGACACACACACACAAUCUGCAUGCACACAAUCCCUCUGCAGGGCACAGACACACACACACAAUCUGCAUGCACACAAGCCCACUGCAGGGCACAGACACACACACACAAUCUGCAUGCACACGAGCCCUCUGCAGGGCACACACACACACA